UACAGAGGUCUCAAGCGUUGUUCGGAUUCAUUGGGCGUAAAGGGUGCGUAGGCGGCGCGGUAAGUCGGGUGUGAAAUCUCGGGGCUUAACUCCGAAACUGCAUUCGGUACUGCCGUGCUUGAGGACUGGAGAGGAGACUGGAAUUUACGGUGUAGCGGUGAAAUGCGUAGAUAUCGUAAGGAAGACCAGUGGCGAAGGCGGGUCUCUGGACAGUUCCUGACGCUGAGGCACGAAGGCCAGGGGAGCAAACGGG
rnacentral:rRNA from 1 species